AUUGAACGCUGGCGGCAUGCCUUACACAUGCAAGUCGAACGGCAGCACGAGAGCAAUCCUGGUGGCGAGUGGCGAACGGGUGAGUAAUGUAUCGGAACGUACCUUUCAGUGGGGGAUAACGUAGCGAAAGUUACGCUAAUACCGCAUAUUCUGUGAGCAGGAAAGCAGGGGAUCGCAAGACCUUGCGCUGAUUGAGCGGCCGAUAUCAGAUUAGCUAGUUGGUGAGGUAAAGGCUCACCAAGGCGACGAUCUGUAGCGGGUCUGAGAGGAUGAUCCGCCACACUGGAACUGAGACACGGUCCAGACUCCUACGGGAGGCAGCAGUGGGGAAUUUUGGACAAUGGGCGCAAGCCUGAUCCAGCCAUGCCGCGUGAGUGAAGAA
rnacentral:rRNA from 1 species